rnacentral:lncRNA from 1 species
AUCAAUAAUUUGUCAGCAUGACAAUGUUCGGAGUUGUUUUGAAAGCAGAUAACUCUUGUGUGGUGGAUUCAAAGAAUGUGUGAUCGACUUUGAGGUAGGUUUUGGUCUACUUUCUUGAUUGGUAUUUAUUAGAUAAUAUUUAGAAUAAAUUACAUGUAAUUUAGGACUAUAUUUGUCGGGCAUUAGACAUGCUUCUUUUAUUCUACUUUUUCUUGAUUUCCAUAUAAGUGUUGGGCUUAUUGUGUGUGACAAGAUCAUUAGUUUAGGCUUGUAGCCUUACUUGUAGUAUGACUUAGCGUGAUUAUCCUUGUUAGGAUUGACACUUAUGGUUUGAGGCUAGUAUUGAGCCUUAGAGUAUGCUUUAUCACCCUUGUAGUGGUGUGUUGCUUCUGGUAGGGCUUGUUUCGUGUGGUGUAUCUUAUGUUAGUGCCUGAGACCUUAAAGGCUCGUCAUAGUUGUAGGUUGGCAUUAGUUAUGCUCGGUUGUGGGCUGGAUCACUAUGAAAGGGGUAAGGCGUAAUUCCUUAAAUUAUUUCUUUCCCUUGUUGAUUCAAAAGCUCUUCUGGACUCCUUUGCUUGUUGAUUAACGGUAGGUUUGUGUUGAUUUAUUGAGCUAUUAAUAUAUUAUUGGGCUCGAGGCCAUGGUCGAGGACCAAUUGGAUUUCAGGUUAGUAUGCUCCUCCUUGGUAGUGUGGUAGGUUUGGUAUUGUAUAUCUAAUUGUGAGAACUUUUUUGAAUGAUGGUGAUGGCAUGCACUGCAUAGGUUGUUCAUUUUCACGUGUUUUGUGGUACGAUCUCGGUUCAUGUAUGGGUUCAUCAUUAUCAUUCACAGAGAAAGACUAUUUUCACUUAGUUAUUAUUCUAAACUGGUUUUAACAAGAGUCAUAUCACAUGGAUCACUUUGUAAAAAUGAUUUUUGAGAUCUAUGAGGCGUCGAGGAUGUGCUCCUUUUCUACUUGAAAUAUUAGAGGCAUCUAGGAUGCACUCAGCUUUUACUUGGCUAGUCGGCGCGUCGGCGCCCUUUCCUGCUUGGCUUUGGCUACUUAUACCUCUAGUACCACGACAAAGAGAAAUUAUUGUAAGACAUGGAUUCAGGCCCAGGCAGUGUAUAUAGACUUCCCACGUCUCCUAUGGGUCCCUCUAGUUAUUUGUUCCAUUGUACAUGAAUAGGGAGUUGCAUGGGUCCUACCUCCCUUAACGGGGUAGAGGGUAGGUGUAUAUACUUGCUUAUUGAUGGUUCUACUGCAUUUUCUGCAUUCAUAUGCAUCACCUAUCACAUGUAUAAUUAAUUGUUGAUGCACCCUCUUGUUUUUUUGGGGCAUUGGGUUAUAUUUGUUGUUUGUACUGUUCAUGAUUAUGGGGUCCAGUUAGGUUAUUGUUUGACUAUAUUACGUAUUCCUUUGUUGUUGAUCUGAUAGUUGAUAGUUUGUGGUUUAGAUUUGUGGAUGUUAGUCCUACUGACCUUGGGUAGUUGACUCUUGUAUCAUAGCUUGCCUAUGAGUAGGUUGUUGGCUUGCGUUUCUAGGUACAUUCUUUGACUCUAUGUAUCAUAUUCCUUCAUUCUUAUUGCAUGUUCCGUCAUAUUAUAUCUCUUGCUUAGAUACUUAUCUCGUACUUUCCUUACUACCUGCUAUUUAUACUUGCUUUAUCAUUGGAGCUUAGUUGGUUAAUGUCUACUGAGUAUCGCUUGUUGGAACUCAUACUACACUUCUACAACAUGCAUAUGACUAUACGAGUUCUGGCCGGAGACUUGAAGCUCUUGCGGAGCAACUUUUGUGACUUAAAGACUAUGGUGAGCUCCUGCGUUCAGAGUUACCAGUUUCCAUUUAUAUUGGUUAGGCUAGUCUUUAUGAGUUAGGUCACCCAUGAGAUAUCAAAUCAAAGGUCGUUGAGUCAUCUUUCCAACGUCACCGAGUUUGCUAAAUUUCGAGUUUAGAUGAGGGAGAUAUGCCCAUUUUAGUACAGCAUGUACAGAUAAGGAAAUUCAUCCGAAUUAAGGAGGGGUACUUUGGUCUUUUCCUUACCCCACUAGGCCUACACGUUUUGUUCACCCUUUUAGGAGUCUAAACUGAUUGAGAUCAGUUUUAGCCAUUCCAAAAAUAAAGCUCUUGGGGUUUUUAGCAGGAAGUUCAAGAGGAGAAAAAGGAGAAGUUCAAGCGUUCGUUCGAAUUCGAGGAUUUUUCGCCAAGAACUUGAUUCUUUCGAGGUAUGUAAGUUUUCAUAGUGAUGGGUUAAUUCAGCCUCACACCAAUCAUGAGUUUUCCAUUGGAAUCGUUCAUAAGAUUUCGUAUAUUGAGUUCUUGAAGAGUUUUCUUGAAGUUUCGUUCUUCAAUCUUUAUUACUGGAGUUUGAUGAGUUCUUGAGGUGAGGGUUAUGAGUUUGAGGCUUGUUCUUGAGGAAAGUUGAGUAGAAUUUUGUUUACUUAUGUUGGGUUUAUGAAUCUAAGGAAGUUUGGAAGAAAUCAAUUGGUUCUAGGUGAAUUAGGACCAAAAAAUGAGAAGAAAAAUUUGUUAGAAUGUUCUGUGGGAGGGGUGCCAGAUGCAACAGAGGGGCUGGCGUGGAGAGCCUGCAGUGCGCCAGAAUUGACCCUCUGAAGUUGAGGGGCUAGCGCCCUGUGCCAGGGAUGGGCCAAUGUCACUUACCCCCAUAUUUCUUCGGUCUUUCGUUCCGUCUGAGUUCUUUUAAAACAUAUCUUUUCUCUCUUCAUGAUUAUAACUAUCCAAACUACAUCUAAUUAUUGAGAAAUCCUAUAUAUCCUAAUCAUAAUUCUUGAAUUCACAUUUCAAAUUCAAGAUAGAGUUAAGAAUAAAGUUUGAGGGAGUCCUUUGAGAAGUCUUUUACAAACUAUUAAAACUUGUUUUAAGACUUGAGUACUUGAGCAUGAGGAUGAGGAGAGUUGAGUUCAUGUUUCCAAAAUGAAUAUAAGGGAACUAAGUAUUCCUGAGUGUAAAUGUUUUACAUUUAAAAAUGAGAGGAAAUUUUGAUUUCCAAAUGAGUUCAUGAGGAGUUUUUGAGCAUAAUCUCUUUUAAGAGAACCUUUUGAUUAAUAAUAUCAAAGUUUGAGGAUGAGAAAAUGUUUUUAAACAUAUGCGCAUGAGUUAUAUUAUUGGAAGUAGUAUUGAGCACUUAUAUGGGGACUAGUUCAGACAACUUAAAGUCCUUAUAAACCAUGUAUGCCAACACGGGUAAAAGGUCAUACUUUUUAGAUGAUUCCUUAUUGCUUUUUAAGCAUAGCUUAGUGGAUCUACUUAGUUGAGGAUGUCUUAUACUCUGGCAAGGUAUAGGACAGUUCUGGCAGCGUGGGAGAGACGUUGUAUCAUCACAUAGCUCAUAGUGAUGGUUGUUGGUUAGAGAAUCUUUCAAAUAAGAGUAAAGAGUUUGCUAUUGUAUUUUUAUAUACAUUGAGUUAUUAUCUACUAUUUGAAAAGCUUUCUUUAUACUGCAUCUUUAUUGUUACUUUUAUAUUGAACUGAGUUGAGUAUUUCUUAGUUAAGUAUCAUUGAGUUGAGUUGAGUUGAGAUGAGGUGAGUAUGUUCUUCCUUUUUAUCAGUUCAAGCUUAUGUCUAUGCUUUAGAGUUCCCCUUGCAUGCUUGUACAUGCAAUGUAUUGACGUCAUUUGGCCUGCAUCUUUUUAUAAUGCAGAUACAGGUAUUCAAGGUCAUCAACAGGCGCUCUGUUGAUACCACUUGCAGUCCCAGUCAACUUUGGUGAGCCUCCUUGCUUCUGGAGGGUUCCACAUUUACUUUCAGUCUUGUUAGAAUGUUAUGGGUCUUGUCUCGACUUCCAUCAUAGUUAUUAGAGGCUUCAUAGACAGUAGUGUUUUGAGGAAUCUUUUCCAUUUCAAUUGUUAAUGUUCAAGACUUGAGUUGC